rnacentral:lncRNA from 1 species
AUGCAAUUGCUAAUUGCUAAGAUUAUUAAGUAAAAGCAAUUGAAAUUAAUAAAUUUCAAUUCUAAAUGAAAAUAAGGAUUUUCUUAUAUUGUGUAAAAUUCUCAUUAAAAAAAAGAAAUAUUUGUUCUUCGCUUAUGAAUAUAAGCGAUAUGAAGAACUUUUUUAGUAAAAUCUCGUAUACUAAUAUAAAAAAAAAGUUUUUAUUCCAAUACGGAAUGAAAAGAAAAGGACAACAUGCAGAAUGGGUAGAAGAAGUGGGGAUACUUGGUUCAAGCCCUGACACGAAACUUAAAAAAAGAAUAAAAAAAUCCUAAGAAUCCAUAUUUCGUAUAGAAUUUCUUGUGGACACUACAAUACAAAAGUGUAGUUGUGUUUAAUCUUCUUUUUUUUUCAGAUUUUGUAUAUCUAGAUUAAGUAUGUAUCUAUCAAAAACAGUAUAUACACUAGAUAAACUCGGCUCAAUCUUUUUUUUACUAAAAG